rnacentral:lncRNA from 1 species
ACAUAUACUCAUAAUUGUAACAUAAAUCAUUAGGAACUAACUUGUCUUUUCCUCUUCGGCUCGGCAUCAUGCUUGAUCUUCGUCGCCACUUUAAGCCAAAGAUGUUGCUCUUCGGCUAUAGCUUCGGUAUUCAUCGUUGUCGUUUCCAGACAAUGUCUUCGUCUUAAGGACCUUCGGUGGAGAAGAAGACUCCCAUCAUAAACAUUUACAACAAAGUUCCUGUAGUAUUCAGUAGUACGCUAGAAACAAAUGAUUAGCUAUGUUUUUGAGGACCUUCGGAAGAGGAAGGCCCCCAAUAGUAGCCCCUCGUAGUAUUAGUUUGUUUCUUGGUAACAAAUUCAGACUGCGGAACGAACGAAGGCCUUUAGCCGAAGGUCCGAAAAACACCUUCCCUUUGCUAGAAUAGCGAAUCAUUCUGUAUCAUGGGCCCCACCGUUCAGUGGUGCUUUGUGUAUAUAUACAGGGGCUUGCACUGAGAAUAUUUUUUGUGCUAUCUAGCUUUCGUGAUGUGAUUGUCAUUUUAACUUUCUUCUUCUAUGAGCGCAAUUGUUUUUUAACUUCGAUUUUCUGUUGCGAUCAUCACCGAGAUGGCCGAAGAUAAGAAAAGUGUGGAUCCCACACUCAUUGGUUUCUUCGAAUCCAUGGAAAGGACCAACGUUGAGAAAAUCACUGAUGAAAUGUGAGUUGGGCUAUCUGGGGAUUCCAGUGAUAGCGAGAGUCUUGAUGUUAAAAGUGAGAAUGAAGAUGAUGAAGAUCGGCCAUGGAGGCCAAGUCAAGUUGUUUUCGUGAAAUCCGUUGUUAAGAAAGGGCAAAUUGAAGGGAUGAAGGGCAGAUAUUUUCUUGAUAUAUCCAUAGUGAGGGCUGGAGGAAAAACACUAUUCCUCUUCUUGAAGCAGAUGAAGUGGUAGUAUUUAAAAGUUUUAUGAAAGCUGGACUUCGUUUUCCCUUGCACACGAUGCUGGUCAAAGUGCUAAAGACAUUUGAGAUAUACAUUCAUCAGCUUACUCCUGAACUUUAAUUAAAGUUGGAGUUUUUAUUUCGGCUAUGAGAAGCCAAGGGCUGGAGCCAAAUGCCAAGUGCUUCUGCAACAUUCAUGAAUUAUCUGUCACACCCGGGUUUUAGGGGUCCAAAGCCCGGGCGCGAACAUAAUCACCAGGUGUGCUGGGACCAAGUCUCACACAUAUGAUGAAUCAUGGCACAGGAUCGAACGUCACAUCUUUACUAUAUAACAGGAGUUCUGUACAAAAUAAAUAAUUACAUUAUAAGGAGACAACGGUCCAGCAAUCCAAAGUUGACUGGGAGACGACGGCCUAGAUCUCUCACGAACUCAUCGCAGCAUUCACCUUGCGCCUCAUCCUGCGGUACCUGUUCUUGACCUGUGGGGGGUGUGAGACAGCAAGAGUGAGCUCACAUACGUUCAUCGCUCAACAAGUUGUGGGGAAUAAUGUACAUGAACUCACCAAAGGUGGGAGCUCACGUGAAGUGUAAGGCUUACCAAAGAGGAUGGUUAGAGCUGAGCAUUGCUUUUAAAGUUGGUCAAAAUUUUAUUAGCAAUUACUAAGUAUAAGUAAAUAACAACCCAAUUAAGUAGUAGAACAAAAGUAACAACAUCACUUGCGAUGCAAUGCAUAUGACAAAUUGAAUUUAAGUUCCAUAAAUUAAUCAUGUGAGGGUCCGAGCUGCUCAUGACCAUGAGCACGGCUAGUAUACCAGUUUUACACUCUGCAGAGGUUGUGCAUCUUUACCCACAAGUCAUGUUACCCAUCUGCCAAGGGAUCGCGACUUCCCAUACACCUCUACCGAGGAGGCGAGGCAGGGUAACACUACGAGGCCUUUACAAAGUUCCACUAGCUUCAGAAAACCCGCUACAGUUUAUAGGAAGCUCCAAUGCAGGGUUCUUGCCUGACCGCCAUCGCAGCAAAAUCAACCAAGGACCUCCCUACACUGACCACUCCCCUACUGCCCUUGCCCCUUUCGGGUAAGGUAGUCCUCCACUAGCUUUCCUAAUUAAUCAGCCAAGGGCGUCCAUAAACCCUUGUGGUAGCACUGUUUUCCCGGGUGGUCGCUCCAUGUUCCAAUUAACAUAAUGAUCUUAUCAUGAACAGUAAUAAUAAACAGAUAAUAAAAGUGUGAUCAUGAAUAAUGUAUCUUCAUACCCAAAACCACAUAAAGCACUAGCAAGUACUACCCAAAAAGUUCAGUGGUAAACAAGGUAUAAAGAUAGACAAACUGGGGUAACCUAUUAGGUCCCAUCUAAAUUAACCUAUGCAGAUCAUUAUGAUUAAUCAGAACAUGGCUGGGUAAAAAGAAGUGAUCAAGGGCACAACUUGCCUGGCACUUGAGAUUCCAGGUACCAACUUGCUUUUCAGAUGACUCGUGACCUCACGCUAGUCGUAGCAAUACAAACAAACAUGGUAUAGGCAAAAUUAACACCACACCAAACAUAUAUGCAAAAUACAUAUUAAUAAUCUACAUAUUAAAAUAAGAUCAUAAUAGUAUAUUAAUAUUAGAAAAGUUAGUCCAAUAAACAUAGAUUGAUCCAAUUAGUUACUUAAUUAUAAAAGUAUGGGAUAUCACAUAAUCAAUAAUGCUACUACGUAGUAAAUAUCUAUACGAGACUAACACAACUUGAACGGAUUGAAACGGAGCUAAAAUAAAUUACUUAUGAUCUUCUGAAGUCUAUAUGGGCUUGAUACAAAAUUAAUUAGGUGAUCCAAUUUAAUAUGGUUUCAUGUUAAAACAGUGUUACCAAUUGAUAUACAAUAUUAAUACAAAAUUAUAGGAACUGGAAUGGAUUAAAAAAGAGUUAAAAUGGAUUUUCUAGGAAUUAUACAAGUUUUAGAAUUAUUUUUGUACCCAAAAAGUAUUUUCUAUACUGUUUUAUUCAAUUUUCCCACGACUCUGGACUGCACGCAAUAUUACUGGGAAGCUCGGGGUUCGGUCUAUAAAAAUCCAGGGCCCAGAUCAUAAGGCUAAAGGGGUACGCACAAGACCAAAUCCGGUGCGUUCAUGAGAGACUCAAUGAUCAAAAUUUAAAAAGGCUGCGAUCUAUUUUCAUACGUCCACUCAUCGAUCUACGGCAAGGAUGAAUCGUUGCCGAAGCGUCAUCUCUACUCUAAUCCUAUCCCUCCAUUUCAGAUCCGACGACCAGUAGAUUUCCUCCCUAUUCUAAUCCCAACCGUCUGCUUCAGAAUCAACGGCCAGGAACCUGUCGUUUACCUCCCGAUGGUGGCUCUCCUACAACUAUGGUGGCGAGAUCGCCGACCCAUCGUACUACUGCAGUCUAGAUCGUGAUUUCACACACAGCGUUGCCGAAACAGCGAAGCAGAUACCGUGGACGAGAAAGACUACUAGGUGGCAUAUGACAGCAUGUGGCCAGAGAACCGAAACUGCUACUCCGGCGUCAUUAUCGAACCUGGGACCUUGAUUAGAUCAAAUAAUGCUAGCAUUUAAACCCAUACCUCGAGGUAGCCUACGACAAAUCGUCGGAGCGAAAGAUACGGUGUCGUCGUCACACCAUGGCGGUGCCCCGGUCGAUAGAUCCGGCCACCCCGGCCCCGGCCCUGGCCCCGAUCCCUCCUCUGUUUGGCAAUGGCGACAUGGUUAUCCGAUUGUUUGGGGUAGAUCUAGAUUGGUUGGGUCUAACUCCUGCGCUAGCCAUGAUUAUAUAGGGCAAAGUAUUUCAGAGUGUUGAGGGGUAUUCGAUCGAGGAGAUUGAGUCCGUCGUCCCGGACAGAAAACCCGACGCGGAUAAUGCAACGGCCAAGGGGCCCAACGGCUCAGGACAUAGCCGCAUGCCAAGGAAGUUUUGAUCCCAAAGUCAAGGCAAAAAUCCCGGAGAGGUGAAGGGUUCUAGGGUCUGAUCUUGUGGAAAACUUGGCAGCCAGAAUGAUCCCCAAGGUGGCCAUGCCAGGAAAGCUUAAUCUUAAUCGAACUCAAAGAUUGGAGACGGU